CCCAUCUGCUGCUCCGCCCGUCCCGCUCGCCCCCUUCCCAGCCGCUCACCCCGCCCGUCCCGCUCGCCGUGGCCGAUGACCACACCACCAGAGACCGCGGAUCUUGGCGCAGGCCCGUGCUCCCGAGCGGUGGUCCCUCCUCGUCGCCACCCCUCUCCUCUGCAUCAUGUCGGAUCCGAGGCAUGCGGGCGCGGAGGCGAGCUUCUCCAGCGGUGCCCGCCUCCCUCUCGUCUCCUCAAUCCUCUUCAUAUCGUCCCGCGUUCUCGAUCUACGCCGCCACGUGCUGUGGUUCUGGAUUGGGCGCAGGCUGCCGCCAUUGGAGAGCAGCGGCGAUGAGGUCUUCAGCUCGGGUGCGAGGAGCAGGGGGGUGAGGUGGACGGUGUUGUGGGGAAGAAGUGAUUGAUGCGGCCGGCAGCGAGCGCCGGUGAGCGACGAGGAGGCCACCAUCUCUCCUCAUAUCCUCCUAGAUGCUCGAUUGGAGCGGGGGACAGAUGCCGCCACAGCCCACUGACCACCGGGGACGCCUCUGCAUUGUCGUCGGCUGGACGAGGAAAACAGCAAGACGCUGGCCUAUGCAUCGGACGUGGGCCGCUUCAGCUUUAGGGGAGAUUUGACGAUGGCGCAAGGUCCCCCACUUCCUUGUUGUGGCGCUGCAGCGUCAUGGGCCCUUCUGAAGGGAGAGGGAGGCACAUCAGAGGGUGGUAGCAGGUGCGUCACUUGAUAACUAGCCUUGCUAAAACAACCAGUGGUUGUCGUGGCCUGAAGCAGCAAGUAUUGUGGAGAUUGAUGGACUAGGUGCUUGCAGCCGCAGUCCAUCGUGCUCUCGGUUGCUGACCUUGAGGUCCAGCCGCAGCUGCCCAUCGCUUAGACCUGGAUUGUAGGAUUGCAUGAGUUGGGGCUUGCGAUUGCCCAUUGUGGUGCACAGGUAGAUUGUAGGAUGUACUUGCCGAAAUGAGCAUGGUCGCCAUGCUAAUUGUUCAAAUAUUCUAUGGCUAUUUCAGUGCUUAUCUCAGUUACUUGAUUUCUUUUGCAGUACUGCCAGGGGUGGCUGUUUGUUUACUGCAGGGGCUGUUGAUCUGCUGCCCCAUUAUUUGAUUACAUGUUUGAUGCUCUCGAAAAAAUGCUACAAAGAAUCAUAAGAAACUUCUCGUGAUAGAUUUACAAUUAGGGAUAUUUCCAAAUGUUUACUUCUAAUUCAUUAGCACAUCCUCUGUUUUUUUUAAUUAAUUGUUGCCUCCUGUUGUCCGCAUCAAGCUAUGGUUCCCCUGUUUAGCAUUUACUUCUGUGUGAUCUGCUGUAUAAAUAUAACAUAACAUUCUGAAAUUGUUAGUUAUUCUUUCUAUAUAUGAGGAAGCAUGAAAGAACUGUGUGUUAGGGGUAAAUAAUCUUUUCUGCUAUUUGAUAAAACAGUUAGGCCGCUACCCUCUCAUAUAUUUUGAUUCUCUUUUGAAUAAAUUCCUAGCCUUGAAUAUCAUUUUUCUCCAUGGUUUUUAUGUUUUGCAUUGUACACUACAGGAUACUGAAUCAACAGUUACAUGAAAGUUUGAUGCCGUGUUAUAUACAAUAGGAGUGGAAGCUCAAAGAAUUAGCAUUAGUUUUGUGAGAAGAGGUCAAAAUUAUAUGGCCCUUCAGAUGAUGUUUGCGGGUUGUUAAGCUUUUUCUCGGAAGCUUUAGGAGUUGGUGUUCUGAUUACUGAACUUUGCUUGUCAGCCUUUAGUUUCCUGAUUAUCUUUCUUCAACCCCUGUCAAGAUGAAUACAUAAAUUGAUGUUGAUGAUUACUCGUGCAUUUGCUUCCUAAGUCAGCCAAGGAUUAAGAAUAUGAGCAUCCGGAGUAUAUCAUUCGCGGACCACCCCUUGCUAUCCAAUACUGUGGAGAGCUUGAAAUGUACUGUCACUGGGGCAACGAAGUGAAGCUCUAUCAACACCAUUUGAACAAGUUGUAUGCAAUGUUCCGCCGCAAAAAACCAGAUAUCAAAUACUAUGUCUGCCAUCAACAAAACAUUUGCAAAGCCAGGCCAACGGAUGUAUUUUCAGGUCCACUACACCAAAGAAAAGCUGAAAGAGUACAUCAAACCAGAUGAUGACACACUCAAGGUCAAGCUCGCAAACAGCAGUCUGCACACCAGUUGUCGUAUCAUGCUGGGAACAGACAAGAGAGCCACAAUAACCAGAAAUUGGUCAGAGUUCCGCCAUCGUGCAAACAUCCAUGAAGGACGUAUCUGCGCCUUUUGUUUCAAGGUUACCGCGGAGCACCGCCUGACUCUCAUCGUCCAUGUCCUCUAGACGGACCAUCUACAUCAACCCAUGCCUUUUGCAUGCAUAGCCUGUCGUCUUAAGAAGAUCUAAUUUUCCUCUAUGAUAAGAUGAACCUUACCUGUGGUUGCCGAUGAUGCCAUACGUUGCUUUUGUACAUCUGCCGGCGAUAUUAUAACCUAUGUAACCUCAGUUGUUAUUACUCAUGGGCAGCACAUCCAUCUAUUGAUCUUAUGUACUAAUGGAGUCUGGAUGAUGAUGUUGAAGGGAUUUCUGUUAUGAACAAUGAAAACAUUCAACCCCAGCCACUAUGAAAAAUUGCAGCGCCGAUGGUCCACCAAGCAUAAAGCCUAUGAGAUGAAUCUCCCCCUUUCUACCUUCCUAAUAGCAUUGUAAAUAUUCUAUCAUAAGCUUCUUAAUUAGAACGCUAUGUAUCAUGAAUGAUCCAUGUGUACCAAU